ACCGAGUUAAUUCGCACUCGGUGUUGUCACAGGACUGAGCCAGGGUACCUGUGAAAGUGGCCUGUUUCUGGGAGGCAGGCUGGCGUCCUGCCCCCAGACGCAGGCCCACGCACCGGUGCGGCGGCCGCCGACGUGUGCCGCACGCCGCCCGGCCGCGGCGCUGGCCCGCGCCGCUGUCGCCGCUCCACGCGAGCCGCUAACAGACUCGCGCUUUUUAAAAUCUAAGCCAACGAGCAAACGCAUAUUUUAAAACAAUGGUGUUAUUCUAAGUGUAACCAAUGUGUGCAAAACGAUGGACUAUAUAUAUCACUUUUUCGUUACAAUAAAGUUUAGUUGUGGGAGUUUAGUUUUUGCGAUAAUAAGUUAGAUUUAAGUUAGGUUAAGCGACAACAUAGGGCGACCAUAGCAAGCCUUGUGUGUGAAGUGUUUUCUAAGAGUAGAUUAUAAAGACGGAUGGGUGCCUUUCUUAGCCAUAAGUUUAUUUAAAAGUUUUUCAUUAUACAUCUUUGCAUUA